UACGUAGGGGGCUAGCGUUGUCCGGAAUUACUGGGCGUAAAGCGUGCGCAGGCGGUUUUGUAAGCCAGAUGUGAAAUCCCCGGGCUUAACCUGGGAAUGGCAUUUGGGACUGCAAGGCUGGAGUGCGGCAGAGGAGACUGGAAUUCCUGGUGUAGCAGUGAAAUGCGUAGAUAUCAGGAGGAACACCGAUGGCGAAGGCAGGUCUCUGGGCUGACACUGACGCUCAUGCACGAAAGCGUGGGGAGCAAACAGG
rnacentral:rRNA from 1 species